rnacentral:rRNA from 1 species
AUUGAACGCUGGCGGCAGGCCUAACACAUGCAAGUCGAGCGAGCGGCGGACGGGUGAGUAAUGUCUAGGAAACUGCCUGAUGGAGGGGGAUAACUCCAGGAAACGGUAUCUAAUACCGCAUACCAUCAGAUGUGCCCAGAUGGGAUUAUCUAGUAGGUGGGGUAAUGGCUCACCUAGGCGACGAGCCCUAGCUGGUCUGAGAGGAUGAUCAGCAACACUGGAACUGAGACACGGUCCAGACUCCUACGGGAGGCAGCAGUGGGGAAUAUUGCACAAUGGGCGCAAGCCUGAUGCAGCCAUGCCGCGUGUGUGAAGAAGGCCUUCGGGUUGUAAAGCACUUUCAGCGGGGAGGCGUUACCCGCAGAAGAAGCACCGGCUAACUCCGUGCCAGCAACCGCGGUAAUUC